rnacentral:rRNA from 1 species
UACGUAGGUGGCAAGCGUUGUCCGGAUUUACUGGGCGUAAAGAGCGCGCAGGCGGUCGUUCAAGUCGCGUGUGAAAGCCCCCGGCUCAACUGGGGAGGGUCACGCGAUACUGAUCGACUCGAAGGCAGGAGAGGGUAGUGGGAAUUCCCGGUGUAGUGGUGAAAUGCGUAGAUAUCGGGAGGAACACCAGUGGCGAAGGCGACUACCUGGCCUGUUCUUGACGCUGAGGCGCG